AAUCAAGGCGUGUGCACAAGAUAUCCCAGCUAUGCUGCCUCCCACAACCACUGCCUUUGCCUUCCUCUGAGCUUCCUUCAUCUCCAUCGACCUGUGUGUGUGUGUGUGUUGAUUCUUCUAGGAACCUUGAAAGCUAUCAGGGAAGAAACUCUGCCUUAUUGAAGAGAAACCAUCAGCUACCACAAGAUCACCUGCAACCUCAAUUAUCUCUCCAGAUUUAAAGCUUUAUUUUUCAAAUUCAAACUAGAUAGGAUUGGUGGCAAAAAUCUUUGUCAAUAACCACAAACAUCUUUACAAACAGAUCAGCUUUCGAAUUAUGAAUCUUAUUGUAUAUAUAAGUACACAAAUAUAUGUUUUGACAGAAACUGUGAAUAUAUACAUGUGGUCAGCUCAGUCAUCUUCA